AGGUUGUAAUGCACUUUUGCAAUUUUCAGGGGCUAAGCUGUAUUUUCUGGACUUAUCCCUUCACCCUUAGUGGAAUACACCUGCCCAAAGGCAGAGAUUCCAUUUCUCUUCUCUCCUUAUCAUCUAUUUUCUUCUCUUUCUCCCUUUAGACUAAAGAAGGGUUGAGGGGAAUUGAGCUGGCAGCUUGGAGGGUUGUAAGCUGAGAAGAAACCUGAUGUAAGCAGGAAAUUUUUGCUGAUUGGAAUUUCGAAAUUACUUGGAGCAACAUCUAAUCAAGGAUUGAAGGCUUGGUGAAUUGGUGGCAGCCUUGAACUUUCGGAUUUCAGAGGAAGCUUUAGAGCAGGGAGUUGGGUUCUGGAGCUGAGAAUAACUUGGAGUAAUGCCUAAUUAAGACUGGAGCUGAAUUCUGGUUGUUGGUGUUGCUCGAACAAAGGGAUCAACUGUGGAAGCUUAGAAACUGAGGAUAUCAGAAAUUAAGAAGGAUUGAGGAAGUGGAGGUUGGCAGCUUGGUGUUACAAGCUGAUUAGUGUUGAUGAUGCUGCCGAAAUGAUGAGAGGGCCAUUUGAUGCAGGGAAUAAGUUAAUUUCGCAUCAAGUGAGAAUUUGAGCUGAAUUCCUGCCGUUUGAGCUAUUGGGCAGGAAACUUAAAUACUUUGAGCUAAGAGCAGCUUGGUGGACUACUACAUUAAGUCAAAAUCUGAAAUUCAGAUUGAUUGGUGUGGUCUAAGUGGAUAGUAGCUAAUGGAGCUUGAGAAUUAAGGUAGAUUACUCACCUUAGCUAAGAACUAAUUUCAACUACCAGGGGAGUGAACUUGGAGCAUUAAGUUGAU